GCAUCAAUCAAUUGGAUGAUUUUUAUUUCGUUUAGGAUACAUUGACGAUUCGUUUGUUUCGAAUAGGAAAGAAGGGUGUUUCUUGUGAGAAUUGCUUUAAAGAGAUGGCAGAAUUGUUACAGACCAGUGAUACGUAAUUGCUUUUUGUAAUAUAGUUAUUUUUGUAGGAACUUAUCGUUGGGAAAUGAGCACCACUGUGGCGUCUGAUACACCCACGUUUAUAGCGCCACCGAUGUGAGACGAGACUACAUACGAUUCGUCGGAACUUGGCCUGAAUUUUUUAACAUUUUACGAAUGUUUCGUCAAUAAAUAUAAACUUCUACUACUUUUCAACUUGUCUUUAAUGUUAAUACAAUCGCGAUUCUUAUAUAAAAAUUCGUAGUAUUUCUUUUGUCGAGUAGUAAAAGUCAAUAAUCGUAAUUCAUUUAUCUUCGAUUAAUUUAUAAUAAUCAACAAAAACAAAGAAAUUAAGGUAUAAUUUUGAACAAUCACGGGGAAAUGUAACGAACGAGUUCGAACAGGCGUCGCGACGCGAAUUUAAAUUUGGCGGGUAUGGGAACCAGCGGAGGGAAAGAGGAAGAAAACGGCGUCGUCGUACGUUAGUACGUUGAGACGCCGUCGAGUUGGCAGCACUAUCGCCAAUGUGUACAUGCAGUCGUUCCGCGGACAGAGGGAAACGUCUCGCCGCAAGUCUCCUCCUAGUAUUUUGGUGAAUUCCGUGGCCGUUUGAUUUCAUGUGUAUCGCGACUCAAUGGGAUACCUUUAAAGAAGAUAAUAUUUGAUCGUUUUGAUCGUUCAUUGAAUUUCUAACGCCUUGUUGUUAAACUUCUUCUGUGCCCGAUUACCAAUUGUUUCAACCCAGUUUUCAUUUAUUGCGUUACACACACCACCCCCGCAACAUUUUAAAUUCGAUUUUGUUUUGUUCUACAAAUUUAUUUUGUUUUUCGAAAAGGCACACGGAGGAUCACCCCAAAAAAACGAAGAAUGGAUUUCAACGAGUGCAACGUACCUUGUCAGGAAGAAGCGAGAUAUCGAAGGCGUACGAAAACAUCUAACUUAUAGAUGCGGGCUUGCUGAUCGUGACGGCUUUGUUAGAAUUUUUGGAGGACGUUGGAAACGAGGGGAAAAAGAAGGAGAAGAAGAGGAGGGGGAGGAGGAGGAGGAGGAAGAGGUGAGAAGA